rnacentral:lncRNA from 1 species
GACUGCAAACUCUUAGAAUAUUCAUAGCUAUUUUAUCUUUACUUGUUCUGUAUCUCGACUUGUUAAUGUCAAGGACAGUGCAUCUAAUGUAUAUCUUAUUUUAGGCAUCUAGAUAAUUCUACAAUAAAAUAAAUAUAUUAUUAUUAUAUUAUUAUUAUAAAGUAUUUUUUAAAUAAUUUAAAAUUAAUAUAACAUUUAU